rnacentral:tRNA from 1 species
GUUUUAAUAGUUUAAGUAAAAAAUCAUGGUCUUGUAAACCAUAGACAGGAAAUCCUUUAAAACU